GAUGAACGCUGGCGGCGUGCCUAAUACAUGCAAGUCGAGCGAACAGACGAGGAGCUUGCUCCUCUGACGUUAGCGGCGGACGGGUGAGUAACACGUGGAUAACCUACCUAUAAGACCGGGAUAACUUCGGGAAACCGGAGCUAAUACCGGAUAAUAUAUUGAACCGCAUGGUUCAAUAGUGAAAGACGGUUUUGCUGUCACUUAUAGAUGGAUCCGCGCCGCAUUAGCUAGUUGGUAAGGUAACGGCUUACCAAGGCAACGAUGCGUAGCCGACCUGAGAGGGUGAUCGGCCACACUGGAACUGAGACACGGUCCAGACUCCUACGGGAGGCAGCAGUAGGGAAUCUUCCGCAAUGGGCGAAAGCCUGACGGAGCAACGCCGCGUGAGUGAUGAAGGUCUUCGGAUCGUAAAACUCUGUUAUUAGGGAAGAACAAAUGUGUAAGUAACUAUGCACGUCUUGACGGUACCUAAUCAGAAAGCCACGGCUAACUGCG
rnacentral:rRNA from 1 species